rnacentral:rRNA from 1 species
UACGUAGGGGGCAAGCGUUGUCCGGAAUCAUUGGGCGUAAAGAGCGUGUAGGCGGCCUGGUAAGUCCGCUGUGAAAGUCCAGGGCUCAACCCUGGAAUGCCGGUGGAUACUGUCGGGCUAGAGUGCGGAAGAGGCGAGUGGAAUUCCUGGUGUAGCGGUGAAAUGCGCAGAUAUCAGGAGGAACACCAAUUGCGAAGGCAGCUCGCUGGGACGUAACUGACGCUGAGACGCGAAAGCGUGGGGAGCAAACAGG